rnacentral:sRNA from 1 species
CUCAGUGUGUGGAGUCCACUGGGGAAAGCUAAAAGGGCUAAGAUGUCAGCUAUUGUAAAGGAAAAACAUCAGAGAGAGGCUCAUUUUCCCUGUACAGCAGAGAUACUGGAUUACCAGGCUGUCAAUCUAGUCUCCUGAGACAAGAUCUGGGGCUUGGGAGCCCAGCACAGCUAUCUUCUUCAGGAAAACCUGGAACAGCAUACUAUUCAUUCUCUGCUACUAGUUCCAGGAGGAGACCACUCCAUGACUCUGCAGCGCUUGAUCCCUUGCAAGCAAAAAAAGUCAGAAAGGUGCCUCCUGGUUUGCCUUCUUCUGUAUAUGCACCAUCCCCAAAUUCAGAUGAUUUCAACCGUGAAUCUCCUAGUUAUCCAUCUCCUAAGCCACCAACCAGUAUGUUCGCUAGCACUUUCUUUAUGCAAGAUGGGACCCACAAUUCUUCUGACCUUUGGAGUUCAUCAAAUGGGAUGAGCCAGCCUGGUUUUGGUGGAAUUCUGGGGACCUCCACUUCCCACAUGUCUCAAUCCAGUAGUUAUGGCAACCUUCAUUCACAUGACCGCUUGAGUUAUCCUCCACACUCAGUUUCACCAACAGACAUAAACACGAGUCUUCCACCAAUGUCCAGCUUUCAUCGCGGCAGUACCAGCAGUUCACCUUACGUUGCUGCCUCACACACUCCUCCCAUCAAUGGAUCAGAUAGCAUUCUAGGAACCAGAGGGAAUGCUGCUGGAAGCUCACAGACAGGUGAUGCACUUGGAAAGGCUUUGGCAUCUAUUUAUUCUCCUGACCAUACCAGCAGUAGUUUUCCGUCAAAUCCAUCAACACCAGUUGGAUCACCUUCACCUCUCACAGGUA